rnacentral:rRNA from 1 species
UGGCUGUCGUCAGCUCGUGUCGUGAGAUGUUGGGUUAAGUCCCGCAACGAGCGCAACCCUCGCCUUUAGUUGCCAGCAUUCAGUUGGGCACUCUAGAGGGACUGCCGGUGUCAAACCGGAGGAAGGUGGGAGUGACGUCAAGUCCUCAUGGCCUUUAUCGUCUAGGGCUACACACGUACUACAAUGGCCGGUACAAAGGGCAGCCACUCAGCGAUGGAGGCGCUAAUACCCAUAAAGCCGGUCUCAGUCCGGAUCGCAGUCUGCAACUCGACUGCGUGAAGUUGGAAUCGCUAGUAAUCGUAGAUCAGCAUGCUACGGUGAAUACGUUCCCGGGCCUU